UUUCAGAGGGCAGAGCCGCUACCCAAGAGGGUCAUACAGGCAACCCAUGAUGAAUUCUCAAUACAGAAGAAAAAAUUGAAGUCAGUUGCCAAGAGUCCUACAGAAAAUAGAAGAGGACAAGCUAGUGGUUUACAGGAACUGUAUGGUGGACCAGGAGGAUCAGCUAUGGUUUUUCUACGUACAUGUUAUGAUGUAUCUAGCAUUUCUGCGAGAUGAAUGGUUUUUGGACAUUCCAUUUGGUUUUUUGCAACAGGAGUUUGCUGACAUUUGGAGUUGAAUCGAACAGUUUUAGUCAAUAGCAUUAAAUUUCGAGAACGUUUGAGAAGAAGCAUAGAGAAAAUGUGAUAAUUUAAGAAUAAUGAGAAAACAACAGUGUUAUUUUGUUAUAUUUGUUACAUGUGAGAGGCAUUUUAAAGUGAACUUUAUAGAGUAUUAAUUGUUUUCUGAAGAUUGUAACAGAUUUUUGUUUUUGAACAUAAUAAAAGUUAUUAUGAA